AGGUUCAUGGAGCAUGGUUACCACCUUGGUUAGUGACACACUAUGCUCGUUACAUGGAGGUUGUCUCAGGUCACUGGAAUUAUCAUGGAAAACCUGUUGUGCAGAAUGUUUUGCAUAAGGCAUCAGAAAAAUCAGCACAUGCAAAGAAAUGGGUUGAACCACAUAUUAAGACUGCUAAGAUGGUAAUGCCCAUCUGUUCAUGUAAUUUCUUUUGUAUUAUCUUGGGCUGACAAUAGUCCUUUCUAUGAUUGAAGAAAUGGAUUCCUGUUAAGGAGAAAUUGGUUGUUCUCAAGAAAAAUGCAGAACCUUAUGUACAAAAGGUAUCGACAAGAUCAGUGAAGUUUUAUGAGUCAUCAAGGGAUGCUGUGACACCUCACGUUGUCAAAGUUAAAGAGUUUGCUCAUCCCUACUACCAGGAAGCCAAGAAGUUUUCUAAGCCUUACAUUGAUCAAAUUGCUGAGAUCACUAAGCCACAUGUUGAGAAAGUUAGAACUACUCUGAAGCCAUACACUAAGAGAGCAGUUCAUGCGUAUGGGUCAUUUAUUGCGUCUGCAACCACAUACCAUCGACAGGCUCAGGCGACCAUCAUGGACUACCUCCAUCAGCAUGGGGUACCCAAGUCAUUUGCAACAAAGGAGUUAGUUUGGUUCCUGGCUUCUGCCUUGCUAGCUCUGCCUGUCUUCGUCAUAUGCAGGCUUGUAGUAAAGACCUUCUGCACCAAAAAGAAUAGAAGGCCUCGUGGCGGUAAUGGUAACGGUAACCAUGGCCAGAAGAGACACAAGCGGCGAUACGCCGACAAGUAGACCAAUCUACCCAACACUUUAGGGUUCAGCAUGCGGUGUUUGCAUU